AAUCUUACCAGGUCCGGACACACUGAGGAUUGACAGGAAGUAUCGUCUUUUGAAUUCUUUAAGGAUAUGUCGUUUUUAAUGACAUCUUUUAGAUGGAUGAUUCGUGUAAAUAUGCUAGUUCUUUCAUGAUUAUGUGAUAGGUGGUGCAUGGCCGUUCUUAGUUCGUGGAGUGAUCUGUCUGCUUAAUUGCGUUUCACUAAGGCCCCAAAGUUAGCAAAUUAUCAAUCGUUACAGAGUCGACCCCUCACCUUUGAGUGCGCGUCCUAACUUGUAGUACAUGGUGUAAAUGGAUUUGUUUUGGGUACCCAGAAAGCAACGAACGUGACCGCAACGUCUUGUUGUCUCUCUUUGACAGUUAUGGGUUAUCCCAGUCAUGUGUUUAUACUUUUAUGUGUAAAUACGUACGACACAGAGACGAGAUACCAAACUAGGCGUACCGCUGUAUCAUUUCUUUAAACCAGAGGAAGGUUGCGGCAAUAACAG
rnacentral:rRNA from 1 species